rnacentral:rRNA from 1 species
GAUGAACGCUGGCGGCGUGCUUAACACAUGCAAGUCGAACGAAGCACUUUAUUUGAUUUCCUUCGGGACUGAUUAUUUUGUGACUGAGUGGCGGACGGGUGAGUAACGCGUGGGUAACCUGCCUUGUACAGGGGGAUAACAGUUGGAAACGGCUGCUAAUACCGCAUAAGCGCACAGCAUCGCAUGAUGCAGUGUGAAAAACUCCGGUGGUAUAAGAUGGACCCGCGUUGGAUUAGCUAGUUGGUGAGGUAACGGCCCACCAAGGCGACGAUCCAUAGCCGACCUGAGAGGGUGACCGGCCACAUUGGGACUGAGACACGGCCCAAACUCCUACGGGAGGCAGCAGUGGGGAAUAUUGCACAAUGGGCGAAAGCCUGAUGCAGCGACGCCGCGUGAGCGAAGAAGUAUUUCGGUAUGUAAAGCUCUAUCAGCAGGGAAGAUAGUGACGGUACCUGACUAAGAAGCACCGGCUAAAUACGUG